AUACGUAGGGGGCGAGCGUUGUCCGGAAUGAUUGGGCGUAAAGGGCGCGUAGGCGGCGCGGUAAGUCUGGAGUGAAAGUCCUGCUUUCAAGGUGGGAAUUGCUUUGGAUACUGCCGCGCUUGAGUGCAGUAGAGGUUAUCGGAAUUCCCGGUGUAGCGGUGAAAUGCGUAGAGAUCGGGAGGAACACCAGUGACGAAGGCGGGUAUCUGGACUGCAACUGACGCUGAGGCGCGAAAGUGUGGGGAGCAAACAGGAUUAGAUACCCUGGUAGUCCACACUGUAAACGAUGAAUGCUAGGUGUAAGAGGUAUCGACCCCUUUUGUGCCGGAGUCAACACAAUAAGCAUUCCGCCUGGGGAGUACGGCCGCAAGGUUGAAACUCAAAGGAAUUGACGGGG
rnacentral:rRNA from 1 species